GGCGAAACAGCCCAGCCAAACCCACGCCCUGCCUUAUCCUUUCGUGUGCCCCUCCCUUCCCAGGCUCGCCGCCGCCGCAAGGGCUGUUGGAAUCCCAUCUGGCAGAACCUCGUCCGGCGAGCAGAACUCCAUCCAGCGGCCACCUCUCCGCUCCUUCUCUGUCCAGGCAACGCAAGCACUGUGGGUGACAGUUCCUCCUCCUAUCGGAACCCCAUAUAGCGAAUCCCGAUCUGGUGAACCCCCAUCCGCUAGGAUCCGCGGCUUCUUCGGGAGUUUUUGGCGAACGACUGUGGAGGAGGAGCAGUAGCUGCGGAGCACCUCAACACCUUCUCCCUCUGCUCUGUUUGCUCGUGUGCUACAGGAUUGGCACUACGUAUUAAAGUCAGGAUAUUGACGAAGGCACUAUCUGUUACCUUGCAGCAGACCGGGUACAUUUUCCCUAACUGCAAAUCCUAUGUCAGAUCCAUAUAUAAUCAGUGAUCUCCAUUAUUGGCAACCUGCAAUUUGUAUCCAUGUCUUAAUAACUUGAGAUUUGAGAAUACCACCCACUUGAUGAUAGUCUGAGAGCACAUAUACAUGUUUUGGAUGAUUCGUAGGUUCAAAGCUGGACACCAAGGGUCACCACCUAGAACCCAGAUGCAUUAUAGAUUACAUCUCAUUCAGCCUUGUCGACAAGAAGUACCAUAUCAAUGCAACAACAGCAGAACCAAACCAACGAUGAUGAAAUGAUAGAACCUCACUUGAAAACAAACAUAACCAGAUUGAUGAACUACUGCUUGUCAUUCAAAGCGAGGCUUCAAACUAUCCAUGUACAGUAGUGGCCGACGUUCCAAAGUGUCAGCUAAUGUAACCUACACCGUUAAGCUUCAGCUCGCCAUGGAAAGACCUACAGCUGCGCCUUUAAUUUGUUUAUGUUUCAAAAAACACAGCUAGCACCGAGACAAAAUCGAAAGCAAUGUAUCCGUACUGAAAUCUGAGCUUUGGAUGGUGCUAUUUUCUUAAAGAUUGGUAAGGCUUCUCUCUGUCUAUGAUUAGAGAAUAGUCCAUUCAAACAACGGUACUAGUGUGCAAUAUAUUGGGUUUUCACAUCGAGCAGGUGUGUGCUUCUUCCAUCUGAUCAUCAGGUGUGACUGCUAGUUUCCUGUUAUUUUUUUCUAGCAAAGACAUGCUGUUUAGUUCUCUUAAUCCAUCUGCAAUGUCUGAGAAUUGGUUUAGGUAAUGCAUAAGCUGCAUAUCUUUGAACUGAUACAGUGUGCAGCCUACUUAUGUAUUAAGCGUGUAGCAAAUCAGUGUGUAAUAGACACAAGAAAUGUGACUCCAGAUGAAUAUGUUUUGUACAGGUCGUUGUGUAAGUGGAAAGGAAUGUUAGCAGAAGGUGCUACCAGUCCUACUGUUUUCAAAUCAAAACAAGUCAGUGCAACUUCAAAUGAAUUAGUGAACAGUAUUGCUAUGGGUAAAUGUCUAAGCACAAUUGCUAUUCAAGUUGGAACUUCUGUGUUAUCUGAAGAUCCAAGUCAAGUUAGGAAAUUGAUAAUGUCUCUUUGGGUUUCGCAAAGUAUCUUGUAUGCUGAAUCUACAAGUAAACUUGCUGAAAAGGCUUUUAAUUUCCUUAAUAUCGACUAUGAUUUGGAUAUAGAGAAAUUUCAGCAACCUAAGGUAUUCACUCAUGCUCCGGACACCAGAAACACCUCGCUGCCAGCACCUGUUCAACUAUUAGUAAUUUGGUGACUAAGGUCACUUGUGAGAUAGGGAUGUGAGAUUUCCAAUUUUUCUGAGAUAACUUUGUGACUAAGUUCACUUGUUGAACUAUAGUUUGGUGUUCGUGAUGAAUGUAAUAAAUAUAUUGAUGAAUGACAAAUGAACCUGUUGAUUUGGUCAUGAAUGGAAUAUAUUGUUGGACCUACAUAUGUUAA